rnacentral:rRNA from 1 species
CCCUACGGGGUGCAGCAGUCGCGAAACCUUGACAAUGCGGGAAACCGUGAUCAGGGGACUCCAAGUGCCAGGAGUAAGAUCCUGUGCUUUUCAUCUCUCUUCAAAGGAUUUGGAAUAAGAGGUGGGUAAGGACGGUGCCAGCCGCCGCGGUAAUACCGGCGCCUCAAGUGGUAGUCGAUUUUAUUGGGCCUAAAACGUCCGUCGCCGGUCUGGUGCAUUCGUGGGUAAAUCAACCCGCUCAACGGGUUGAAUUCUGCGAGCACGGCCAGACUAGGGACCGGGAGAGGUGUAGGGUACGCUCGGGGUAGGGGUAAAAUCCUGUCAUCCCGAGCGGACCACCUGUUGCGAAGGCGCUACACUAGAACGGAUCCGACGGUCAGGGACGAAGCCUAGGGGCACGAACCGGAUUAGAUACCCGGAUAGUCCUAGGUGUAAACGCUGUGGACUUGGUGUUGGAAGCUCCCAGAGGGCUUUCAGUGCCGUAGCGAAGGUGAUAAGUCCACUGCCUGGGGAGUACGGUCGCAAGGCUGAAACUUAAAGGAAUUGGCGGGGGAACACCGCAACCUGAGGAUUGUGCGGUUUAAUUGGAUUCAACGCCGGAAAACUCACCAGUGCCGACGGACAAAUGAAAGCCAGGUUAACGACUUUGCUGGAUGUUCGAGAAGUGGUGCAUGG